AUGGCAUGAUCCGCUGUUGCAUU
rnacentral:snRNA from 1 species